rnacentral:rRNA from 1 species
UACGUAGGGGGCUAGCGUUAUCCGGAAUUACUGGGCGUAAAGGGUGCGUAGGUGGUUUCUUAAGUCAGAGGUGAAAGGCUACGGCUCAACCGUAGUAAGCCUUUGAAACUGGGAAACUUGAGUGCAGGAGAGGAGAGUGGAAUUCCUAGUGUAGCGGUGAAAUGCGUAGAUAUUAGGAGGAACACCAGUUGCGAAGGCGGCUCUCUGGACUGUAACUGACACUGAGGCACGAAAGCGUGGGGAGCAAACAGGAUUAGAUACCCUGGUAGUCUCUGA